rnacentral:tRNA from 1 species
UUCGGUGGCUGAGUGGUAAAGCGCUUGGCUUCCGAACCGAGAGUUCCUGGUUUCGAAUCCUGCCGAA